UUCCCUGGUGGCUCAGCUGGUAAAGAAUCUGCCUGCAAUGUGGGAGACCUGGGUUCGAUCCCUGGGUUGGGAAG
rnacentral:tRNA from 1 species